GACACCACAGAGCGUGCAAACAGAGGUAGCUGUUGUCUGUGUAUGUUAUGCUUUUUCUCAGAGUUGUAAAAGCAAGCAGAGAAGAAACUGGCUGCUCUUUAUUUCACUGAUGUAGCUGGCAAGGUAACUGCUGUUUGACUUAACUGAAGAAGAAAACAUAUUCCCAGUGCUGAGCUAGUAUUGUAACUGACAUGUAACGUUAGGUAAUGUUUCAUCCCCUCUCAACUCAAGUUUUGUCUGAAGUGACUGAACUAGCUAGCUAACUAGUGGCUACCACAGCUCUAGCCUCCAGCUAUCUGUCAGGUAGCAGUAUCUAACAGCUGUUGUGUGUAUGGAAAUGUUUUGAAGCUGUAAGAAAGCCUGUCCCUUUAAGAACUUAGUGAUAACGUCACAGCUAUCACAAGCUGGCAGAGUGUUUAGUUCAUUACCAAGUGUCGCCACCUACUGCUGUGAACAUAAAUCUCAGUUUUGGACAUUAUUUCCUUUCUGACCAACUUAUUCAUCACUGUGCGUGAAUACCAAAACUACCACAUCUUAAAUGGAUAAAUGGACAGUUAAUUGGAUAAUCAAAGCUGAGUGACAUGGCACAGAAUUGCAAACAUUGUUAAUCUCCAAUCACAUUAAGGAACCCUAAACUGAGGAAUUGUCUCUCUCGCCGUCUCUCUAAUAGGAGUACAAUCUCUAUAACUUCACCUACUCAGUGUAUAGAUUCCAGAGGCAUCUCCCUCUAAUUCAGUAGCCUUUGUUUUGUCCUGUUUCAACAGAAGUAAAUUAACUUGGCUCAUUUUCGCUAGUUGAUGCACCAUAGAGCUAGCCAAAAGUUGGCUAACGUUAGAUAUGUUUGCCUUAAUCACAGUCAGUAUAGCAAUGUAACGUUAUUGAUCUGUCAGUUUCCCUAGCCAAUUCCCUACUUUACACACUGACACAGUAUAAACAGCUCUACAGGCUUCACUGUCAUGUUGCACAGUCAGUACUGUACACAAAACUAUGCUCCUCAUGUCUUAGCAGGAUCAGAUGAUGACAGGUGUCUUGAAUGCACAACACGUCACUUCCUGUUGAACGCGGAAUCAGGGAGAGCUCGGUUUGAUGUUUUGGACUAUUGAAUAAGUUUGGUUAUUAGCUAGCUACCUUUUGUGUUUGGAUUCCGUGACGCGGUUAGCAUCAGUUGCUGGUACCGCUAUCAUCUGCUGUUUGUUGUUUCCAAUCUUACCUGCGAUAUGCCACGUUUGGAAUUAUGAGGAGUAACAGCGAAACCUAUGUUGCUACCAUGACGAAGACCAAAGCCGGCAGGAGUACCGUUGAGGGCAGUGUUGUCUCUAUCACAGGUGAAGGAUAUUUUAAACUAACAAAAAUAGUUAAACAGUUGUUACAACAACAAUAAAAUUGCUUCAAGUGUUGUGUCCAAAUACUGGUGGAGUCAACUAAUAAAAGAAAUGGACGACCUGACCAGAGAGAUCCAGGACCCAAAGAACAGUUUGCAGUUCUCCCAGGGUCAGCUCGAUGAGUUGAAACAGGAAAACGGCAAGAUGACAGCAAUAUGUGAGUCAUUGUGAGAGGACAUCAGUUCUGUUUGGGAAUCAAUGAUAACAAUGAUGGAGAAAUGAGAUUCUUGAGGGACAAUCAAGGCAGAACAACAUGGUUGUUGACAGAAUUGCAGAAUAUCCACGAGACCUGGGCGGAGUCUGAGAACAAAGUAAGGGAAAUGAUCUCAGAGAAACUAAAAAUGGACCACAGGAAGAUUGAGGUAGAGCAUGACCACAGGACUGGAAAACCCACCACCAACCCAGGUGACAGGCCCAGGCCAAUAGUUGUCAAGUCCCUGAGGUUCAAGGACAAGGUAGCUGUUCUGGAACGAAACAAGAACUUGAGAGGAACGUACAUCUUCCUCAACGAGGACUAUCCUGAAGCUGUGCACCAGAAGAGGAAAGAACUGAUCCCAGCCAUGAAAACUGCCAGAGCACGUGAGGACAUUGCUUACAUCCGCUAUGACAGGCUCAUUGUCCACCCAAAAGCCUGGAAGGGAUGAGAAAGCUAAGCCUAUGGGAUCAGAUGGUGACAGGGGUCUCAGCAGGGUCAGUCAACCAGGGAAGACCAGUCUGUGACGGCGCUGAGGUGAACUUUUACAAAUGCAACACUUUAUUCUCUCUGUGCAGCAAACACUGGACAAGCCAGAAGAUUCAAAGAUUGAAACUAUUUUAAGGCAGUCUGACAAACCUCUAAAGUUGAUUUCCAAACUGUAUCAAGGGUUGAUAGAGGCUUUCCCAAUGACACAAAACAUGUAAUACUAAAAUGUGAGGAAGACCUGGGAAGACACUACUGAUGAUGAAUGGAUACAGAUAUGUUUGAAUGCCCAGCCAUGUACAUAUAAUCUCAGACAUAAAUUACUGCAGUUUUCAGAACAUAUGUACUAUAUGCCAGUGAAACUGAAUACCAUGUACUCAGAAAUGUAAUUCCUCUGCUGGAGGUGUAAAAAACAAAAGGGGACAUAUUUCAAUAUGUUAUGCUCUUGUGAAGGCUGGCUGAGUUCUGGCAAAGUGUAUGUUAUUUUAUUUCAGCAUGUCUACAGUCUCCCUGUUUUUGUUUGUUUGGAAAUAUUGAUUCUGGAGACUUGUCAGAAGAAACUGUGUAACCUAGAAUUUAUAGUGGCUAAGAAAUACGUUGCCAUUAAUGGGAAGGUUGUGUAUCCUCCCACAAAUGUCACAAUUGAUGGCAGAAAUGUCAUUCCAUGGGUUAUUUCAUAGUUUGUAGAAAAUAGUAAAAAUAAAAAAUAAACCUGGAAUGAG